AUUGAACGCUGGCGGCAUGCCUUACACAUGCAAGUCGAACGGCAGCACGGGAGCAAUCCUGGUGGCGAGUGGCGAACGGGUGAGUAAUAUAUCGGAACGUGCCCGGUCGUGGGGAUAACGUAGCGAAAGCUACGCUAAUACCGCAUACGAUCUACGGAUGAAAGCGGGGGGAUCGCAAGACCUCGCGCGAUUGGAGCGGCCGAUAUCAGAUUAGGUAGUUGGUGAGGUAAAGGCUCACCAAGCCGACGAUCUGUAGCUGGUCUGAGAGGACGACCAGCCACACUGGGACUGAGACACGGCCAGACUCCUACGGGAGGCAGCA
rnacentral:rRNA from 1 species